UACCUCCUGUUUACCAUUGCUCUUCUUUGUCGUGAACCAGUUGUACUUGACACAAAGGGAAGUAACUUAUGUCAGCUUAUCAAUUUAUAUUGAAAUAAUCAAUGUUAAUCUAAUACCUCCUGUUUACCAUUGCUCUUCUUUGUCGUGAACCAGUUCUACUUGACACAAAGGGAAGUAACUUAUGUCAGCUUAUCAAUUUAUAUUGAAAUAAUCAAUGUUAAUCUAAUACCUCCUGUUUACCAUUGCUCUUCUUUGUCGUGAACCAGUUCUACUUGACACAAAGGGAAGUAACUUAUGUCAGGUUAUAAAUUUAUAGUGAAAUAAUCAAUGUUAAUCUAAUACCUCCUGUUUACCAUUGCUCUUCUUUGUCGUGAACCAGUUCUACUUGACACAAAGGGAAGUAACUUAUGUCAGGUUAUAUUCAGGCCUUGACACAAGGUAGGGGCUGUAUGCUAUUCAGUUGUAAUUCCAUAAACUUUAGAUUAUGCAAACAACAAUAACUAAAUAUUUCUCAGGAGACAUAUGUGAGGAUAGUUCAUUUAGAUGUAAAUACUCUUUCUGAUGUAAUUUUAACAAUUGUGGAUAUAUUCUAUUUUAACUGCAUUGUUUAUGUGACAAAAAAUGUCUCAAAAUUAUUAUUCUAGGCAUUCAUUUUGUUAAUCUUCAACAGUAAAACCUCUUAGUGAGGGACAUAUAUUAUGUGGAUUUUCUUUUUAUAUGUAAUUUUUGGACUUAUAACUUCUUAUUAUUUAGUUUUAUAAUUAUUAUUUUUUUAAAUUCUUCAAUAAAAUAAAACUUUGAGAGGCUGAAUAGGCUCUCCUAAGUUACAGAGUUGCCAUUUUCAACCUUGUGCUACUAAAUGAAUAGUAUUGUAAUUUUUCAACCUAAUGUUUAAUCACCAGGUUCCUUUGCCUUUGAGCACAUUAUUCCCAACACUUUAUCUGUGAAUGGAACAAAACUUGACAGAUAACUUAGUUGUACAUCCUUUCCCAUUAAAUUUUCUUAGAUCAGAUUGGUUUCUAUGGUAACCUAUGCCACAACAGUUUUUGCCAUUUCUGUCUAUUAGGAAUGCAGAUUUCCUUAAGUUAACAUCCAAACUGAACAACAACAUUUUUAGAAGAAAGAAUGGAAACAGGGAAUGUGUCAAAGAAACAACAACCCGACCAAAGAGCAGAAAACAACCCAAGGCCACCAAGGUGUCUUCAACGCAGUGAGAAUAUCUCGCACCUGGAGGCGGACUUCAGCUGGCUUCUUAACAAUUAUGUAUACUAGUUCAGCGAAAUGGACGACACACUAAACUCUGAAACAUAUAAAUGAACCAAAAUUUAAAAAAAAAAUAAGACUAACAAAGGUUCCUGACUUUGGACAGGUGAAAAAAGGUGGAGGGGUUAAAGAUUUUUUUAAGGUUCACUGAGCAAGCAGUUGGGAGACACAUAUUUAGAAGUUUACAAAGAAAAUCGUAAAACAUAUAUUCAUGUGGACAUUAGGAGAUUGGUUGUAGAGGGGAUUUUCUAUUAGGAGAUUGGUCUUUUUAAGUUUUCUAUUUAUUUUCUUUCAAAUUUGAGAGGUUUCAAGAAAUUUCUAGAGGAUAAACUAUUUUAGAGGCUCCAGUGAGUUUUUAGAGGAUAAAUAACUUACUAAAAAAAUAUCAUUAAUUUUUAAGUAAACAAUGCUUUGUUUUUAUAAUAUGCUGUUACCUUGCCAUCUUUUAUUACACCAACUAUAUUUUUCCUUCUGUGAAAACAGAUAUUGAGUGUGAAUUAUGGGGAUUUUAUAAUGCAGCUAUUUAUAUAGUGUUAUGCUGCUAAACAAGUCUUAUAUAAAAUUUACAGAAUAACAAUUACAAUGGUAUUUAGAUUAUGUUGUAUAUGGAUACACUAAAGUUAUUUGACAAGUACUUCCUGUCCUAGACAUAUCAAAACAAUGUAAACACUAAGUAAAAACAAGUAUUUCCUGUCCUAGACAUAUCAAAACAAUAUAAACACUAAGUAAAAACAAGUAUUUCCUGUUAUCACCUCAGUUUUAGCCAUAUUCAAAAGUUCUUCAGAAUCAGUCUUGAUAUAGGUCCAAGCAAAAACAAUAGAUGAUCAGUCACUACGAGAUAUUCUUUACAAAAUUACAGAACAAAAAAGUUUAUUGAUUUAAUACUUUUGUGGCUGUUGUAUUUGAAUUGCCUCCACAAUAGUAAUAAAGGGCCUUUUGACAGACUGUAUUUAUUUACAUAGUAAAGGAUCUAUUAAAACUUCCUGAACUCUGAAGUAGGUACCUGAAGCAGCAAAAAUAUUUAAAAUUCAUCUUAAACUCAAUUAGCCUUAAGAUGAACAAUAAAUAAAGGAAAAAUAUGAUACAUCAUAAAAUGAAGCUUUUUAUUGAUUGAGCAAUAAAGAUUACCUGAAAUAUUCAUUAUUUUUUCAAGCAAUUUUUGUAUAGAAUCUGUCAGAUAACUGUUUUAUAUAACUGUUUUAUAGUUUCUAUGUAUUGGAAGCUAAUAUGAAUUUACUGUGAUAAGUUUAGUUUUCAAGUGAUUAAAAACAGGAAAACAUAUCUAGGUAGUAUGCUGACCUCUAAAUUUCUUUUGCUUUAUAUGUUGUUGGGUUUCUACCCCUCAUCUUCUUUCAUUCGUGCUUAGAUAGGACCAAAAUAUUUCAAUUCUUCUACUUUUACCACACCAUAUUGUUUUGAGUUAAGCAGGUUAAUGUAUGGAGGUGACACAGUUAUGUUUUAUGAUAAUAUGAUGUUACAGAUAGUCCACAACUAGUUGUUAUUGUUAUGUUAUAACUUUAUAUUUGUUAAGUUAUGUGCCAUAUGCUUUGUAUUUAAAUACUAGUAUUUUGUAGAUUUUUGCGGGAGCACAUAACUGCCAUAUGAACCAACUCACAAAAGCGGUUGAAAUAAUAUAUGUUAUACCCUCCUAUAUUGAUGGCACUUUACAGAGUUAUAGAACACUACCCAGUAAUUUUAUCCUGUUCUUACAUGUUAUAGGAGAGGUAAUCCACUUAUUUAAAUAUUGCAACAUUUUGGCAGUAGUAUCUUUAAGCACAAAUCCUCCUGAAUUACAUGAAAUAUUAGUAUUACAAGGCAGGGCAUCCUUUUGUUACUUAAAUCAAAGUUCUUGUUAAAUGUAUUUUUUGUUUAUAAUAAAGUUUUGUCAUGUCAAAACAUAUUUGAUGUAAAAUGUGAUGAUUUGUGACGAGAGAUAGGUAUUACAAUUUGGCAGCGGCAACCUUGUAAACUAUUUGUUUAAGUUUUAUAUUUCAGAAGGUAGAAGACCUGGAUGCUUCAUACCAUGUAUGCAGAUACCUUAUGUUACGAUGUUUCCGUCUGUUACAUGUCCAUUAUCCUUGAUCUCAUUUUCAUGGUACAGUGACUGCUUGAAAAAAAUUACAUUUUUUUUGUUAUGUAAAAUACUAAUAAUAGGAUACCUAUAUUUGGUAUAUGGGUUCCUUGCAACAUCUACAUGUCGGUCCAGUAGGGUUCACCUGACCUCGACCUUAAUACAUAGAUCAGUGAUCAAGGUUAAUGUUACAUGGUCAAGUCCUUAUCUCAGAUACUGUAAGCCAUAGGUCAACUAUAUUUGGUGUAUGGAUUGAUUGAAAGUUUGUACAUGUCCAUCUGGCAGGUUUCAUCUGACCUCGACCUCAAUUUCAUGGUUCAUUGGACAAUGAGUAGUGUUUGUGGUUUGGUCUAUUUCUCAGAUAAUAUAAGCAAUAGGUCAACUAUAUUUGGUGUAUGGAUUGAUUGAAAGGUGUACAUGUCCAUCUGGCAGGCUUCAUCUGACCUCAACCUCAUUUUAAUGGUUCAUAGGACAAUUUUUUAUUUUUGUGGUUUCGUCUAUUUCGCAGAUAUUAUAAGCAAUAGGUCAAUUAUAUGUAUAUGAGUGUAUGGAACAAUUGUGAGGUGUAAAUGUCUGUCUCAGAGGGUUCAUAUGACCUUGACCUCAUUUUGCUGGUUCAUUGGUCAAGUUUAUGUGAUACUUGUAGUAAAUAAAAUUGAGAAUGGAAAUGGGGAAUGUGUCAAAGAGACAACAACCCGACCAUAGAACAGACAACCUUCAUAUAACAGACUUUCAACAUAAAUUCAAUGAUAAGUAAAACAGGCGAGACAUAUCAGCGUGUACACUCUUGUUUUUUUAUAUCCUUCGUCUAAUUCCAGAAUGUUCUGUCAAAUAAAUCAAAGCUUUACAGCUAUAUUGUGAUAUUUCUUUGUAAUUAAAAGUUUUAAACUAA